AUUGAACGCUGGCGGCGUGCCUAACACAUGCAAGUCGAGCGGUAACAGGUGUAGCAAUACAUGCUGACGAGCGGCGGACGGGUGAGUAACGCUUGGGAAUCUGCCUAUUAGUGGGGGACAACCCGGGGAAACUCGGGCUAAUACCGCAUACGCUCUACGGAGGAAAGCCGGGGACCGCAAGGCCUGGCGCUAAUAGAUGAGCCCAAGUCGGAUUAGCUAGUUGGUAGGGUAAUGGCCUACCAAGGCGACGAUCCGUAACUGGUCUGAGAGGACGACCAGUCACACCGGAACUGAGACACGGUCCGGACUCCUACGGGAGGCAGCAGUGGGGAAUAUUGGACAAUGGGCGCAAGCCUGAUCCAGCAACGCCGCGUGGAGGACGAAGGUCUUCGGAUCGUAAACUCCUGUCAGAUGGGAAGAAUGGGCGUCGGCAAAUAGUCGACGUUCUUGACUGUACCAUCAGAGG
rnacentral:rRNA from 1 species